GUCCCCUUCGUCUAGAGGCUCGAGACACCGCCCUUUCACGGCGGUAACAGGGGUUCGAAUCCCCUAGGGGACGCCA
rnacentral:tRNA from 2 species